GACGAACGCUGGCGGCGUGCUUAACACAUGCAAGUCGAGCGAGACCCCGCUUUCGGGUGGGUGUUCUAGCGGCGAACGGGUGAGUAACACGUGGGCAACCUGCCCUCAGCUCUGGGAUAACUCCAAGAAAUUGGGGCUAAUACCGGAUAUGACCGCUGACCGCAUGGUCUGGUGGUGGAAAGAUUUAUCGGCUGGGGAUGGGCCCGCGGCCUAUCAGCUUGUUGGUGGGGUAGUGGCCUACCAAGGCGACGACGGGUAGCCGGCCUGAGAGGGUGACCGGCCACACUGUGACGGAGACACGGCCCAGACUCCUACGGGAGGCAGCAGUGGGGAAUAUUGCGCAAUGGGCGAAAGCCGGACGCAGCGACGCCGCGUGGGGGAUGACGGCCUUCGGGUUGUAAACCUCUUUCAGCAGGGACGAAGCGAAAGUGACGGUACCUGCAGAAGAAGCACCGGCCAACUACGUGCCAGCCGCCGCGGUAA
rnacentral:rRNA from 1 species